GGAGAGAUGGCAGAGUGGUCGAAUGCGGCGGUCUCGAAAACCGUUAUCCUGCUAUCGCGGGAUCGGGGGUUCGAAUCCCCCUCUCUCCGCCA
rnacentral:tRNA from 1 species